AACACGUAGCCUACAUGCCCAGGGGACGUGGAUAACCUCGGGAAACUGAGAUUAAACCGCGAUAGGUCAAGAUUUCUGGAAUGGAUCGUGUCUUAAAUCUACAUGGCCCCUGGAUUGGACUGCGGCCGAUCAGGCUGUUGGUGAGGUAAUGGCCCACCAAACCUAUAACCGGUACGGGCUCUGAGAGGAGAAGCCCGGAGAUGGGCACUGAGACAAGGGCCCAGGCCCUAUGGGGCGCAGCAGGCGCGAAACCUCUGCAAUGGGCGAAAGCCUGACAGGGUUACUCUGAGUGAUUUCCGCUAAGGAGAUCUUUUGGCAGCUCUAAAAAUGGUGCAGAAUAAGGGGUGGGCAAGUCUGGUGUCAGCCGCCGCGGUAAUACCAGCACCCCGAGUGGUCGGGACGAUUAUUGGGCCUAAAGCAUCCGUAGCCGGUCGUGCAAGUCCUCCGUUAAAUCCAGCUGCUCAACGGAUGGGCUGCGGAGGAUACUACAGGACUAGGAGGCGGGAGAGGCAAGCGGUACUUAGUGGGUAGGGGUAAAAUCCUUUGAUCCAUUGAAGA
rnacentral:rRNA from 1 species